rnacentral:rRNA from 1 species
CCUACGGGUGGCAGCAGUGGGGAAUAUUGGGCAAUGGGCGCAAGCCUGACCCAGCAACGCCGCAUGAAUGAAGAAGGCUUUCGGGUUGUAAACUUCUUUUCUCAGGGACGAAGCAAGUGACGGUACCUGAGGAAUCAGCCACGGCUAACUACGUGCCAGCAGCCGCGGUAAUACGUAGGUGGCAAGCGUUAUCCGGAUUUACUGGGUGUAAAGGGCGUGUAGGCGGGGACGCAAGUCAGAUGUGAAAACCACGGGCUCAACCUGUGAACUGCAUUUGAAACUGUGUUUCUUGAGUACUGGAGAGGCAGGCGGAAUUCCUGGUGUAGCGGUGAAAUGCGUAGAUAUCAGGAGGAACACCAGUGGCGAAGGCGGCCCGCUGGACAGCAACUGACGCUGAGGCGCGAAAGCGUGGGGAGCAAACAGGAUUAGAUACCCCAGUAGUC